rnacentral:rRNA from 1 species
GAUGAACGCUGGCGGUGUGCCUAAUACAUGCAAGUCGAGCGAACAGACGAGGAGCUUGCUCCUCUGACGUUAGCGGCGGACGGGUGAGUAACACGUGGAUAACCUACCUAUAAGACUGGGAUAACUUCGGGAAACCGGAGCUAAUACCGGAUAAUAUAUUGAACCGCAUGGUUCAAUAGUGAAAGACGGUUUUGCUGUCACUUAUAGAUGGAUCCGCGCCGCAUUAGCUAGUUGGUAAGGUAACAGCUUACCAAGGCAACGAUGCGUAGCCGACCUGAGAGGGUGAUCGGCCACACUGGAACUGAGACACGGUCCAGACUCCUACGGGAGGCAGCAGUAGGGAAUCUUCCGCCAUGGGCGAAAGCCUGACGGAGCAACGCCGCGUGAGUGAUGAAGGUCUUCGGAUCGUAAAACUCUGUUAUUAGGGAAGAACAAAUGUGUAAGUAACUAUGCACGUCUUGACGGUACCUAAUCAGAAAGCCACGGCUAACUACGUG